AUGCAAGUCGAUCGCCCCGCAAGGGGAGAGGCGAACGGGUGAGUAUAACAUAGGUAUCUGCCUAUCACUGGGGGAUAACUACUGGAAACAGUAGCUAAUACCGCAUACGCCAUAUUGGGAAAGCUCCGGCGGUGAUAGAUGAGCCUAUGCCUGAUUAGCUAGUUGGUAGGGUAAAAGCCUACCAAGGCAACGAUCAGUAGCUGGUCUGAGAGGAUGAUCAGCCACACUGGGACUGAGACACGGCCCAGACUCC
rnacentral:rRNA from 1 species